rnacentral:lncRNA from 1 species
AUUUCACCUACAUCACAAUGAAUGGCAGUUUGGGCAAACUAAUGGCCACACCAACCCACACUAAAUACCCAACACCCAUGGACCCCAACCCCACACCAAACCCAACCCUUGCCAUUACUGAAGGAGGGGACACCGAAACACCUGCCAAAGCAGCAACAGAAGACACUGAAGACUGGGUCCAUGGACUGCAGCAAUGUCGAGCCAAUACCAUGUUCUGGAAAAAUCUCCAUGCA